UCCGGUAUGGUGUAAUGGUUAACAUUGCCGCCUCUCAUUCAGUGCGAUGGUGCCGAUUGAUUACGCGGCAGCUCAGGGUUCGAUUCCCUGUCCCAGGA